CCUACGGGUGGCAGCAGUGAGGAAUAUUGGUCAAUGGGCGCGAGCCUGAACCAGCCAAGUAGCGUGAAGGAUGACUGCCCUACGGGUUGUAAACUUCUUUUAUAAAGGAAUAAAGUGAUGCACGUGUGCCUUUUUGUAUUUACUUUAUGAAUAAGGAUCGGCUAACCCCGUGCCAGCAGCCGCGGGAAUACGGAGGAUCCGAGCGUUAUCCGGUUUUAUUGGGUUUAAAGGGAGCGUAGAUGGGUUGUUAAGUCAGUUGGGAAAGUUUGCGGCUCAACCGUACAAUUGCAAUUGAUACUGGCAGCCUUGAGUACAAUUGAGGUAGGCGGAAUUCGUGGUGUAGCGGUGAAAUGCUUAGAUAUCACGAAGAACUCCGAUUGCGAAGGCAGCUUACUAAACUGCCACUGACGUUGAGGCUCGAAAGUGUGGGUAUCAAACAGGAUUAGAUACCCGUGUAGUC
rnacentral:rRNA from 1 species